AUCAAACUCAAGCACUCAAUCAAUAGACUCUCGCCUUCGGUUUUUUUGGGGAAAACGCUUUGUAUAUUUUGCGCAAAAGCAGAAGGGAGAACUGAUUGUUGUCUUCUUUCCCGUCUCUCCUCUCUCCUCUCACUUCCAUUCUAUGUCCCAAAACAACUCAAAAGGACGAAUCCGGACCUGCCCCAACCCAAGAAGCUUUACCAGUAAAUUUUGGUUCUUUGGAGUGGAAUUGGAUCCCUCGUUCAGCCAAUAGAGCUGCUCAUGAGGCAGCUAGGACCGGAAGUGGAGCGGUGGUGCAGGUUAUCUAGGUCGAUAGACCACCACCGUCUCUGGUCAGCAUUUUGGUAGCAGAUGGUCUUCCUGGACCUCCAGGUUUUUGAGUUUCUUUGUUAUGCUGUCAAGUUUGGAUAAUUUCUCCACCUAGUUGGAUUGUGGUUAGGUGGUAUCUUUCUUGGCUUUGUUCUGGUCUGUCGUUUGCCCAGGGUGUUUUCCCCUGUUCUUGAAUGAAGAUGCAUUUCAUCCCAAAAAAAGGAAAAAUUGUGUUGCAGAUGUGUAAGUUUUCUCAAUCCAAAAAACCAAUAUGGUCCUAUAUCUAUAGAUGGAGAGAACUAGCCUCCUUGGUUGCGCUUUAUUUUAUG